rnacentral:rRNA from 1 species
AUGUUUGAUCAUCAAGUGGUGGUGGAGAAUACUCAUAACAAUGCAGCCGUAGAACGUCAUGCACUAUUGAACCAGGCAGGCCAUUUAGAAAAUGUUGUAGCAACAAAGGAUGAUGAAAAGGCAGAGAGAAGCCGUUUAAGGCUAAAAGCAUAUGUUGUGGUUGUUAGGUGACUCACAUUUCGAUCUUGCGCUUUUAGAGGACAUAAUGAGAAAGUUGAGUCAAGGAACAAAGGGAAUUUUCUUGAAUUGUUAGAGCUUCUCGCGCAAUUCAAUCCUGAUCUUGCCAAAGUCAUUUUGGGGAAUCCUCCAUACAACUCAAAGUACACAGCUCCGGAUAUUCAAAAGGAAAUCUUGUCCAUAUAUGCAUAUAAAGUUAGGAGACAUAUUCGUGAAGAAAUCGGGGAUUCUAAACUCUCUAUUCUAGUGGAUGAGACAUGUGAUGUGGUGAAAAGAGAACAAAUGACAUUGGUUUAG